AUGAGAGCUCUAUUCUGGAAUAUUCGUGGUUUCGGUGCUAGGGGGCGCCGAGACCAGAUCCAUGACCUGGUUUGUGGUGAACAUAUCGACAUUUUAGGGUUGGUUGAAACUUUUCAGGAAUCCUUCUCCUCUCCUGAGCUUUCGGCGGUGGCUGGUAUGGACCAGUUCGACUGGCACUGUCUCCCUGCUUCGAGACAUUCUGGGGGAAUCUUGAUAGGGUCCAAGCGAGACAUGUGUGAUUUCAUUGCCUUUGAUCAUGGUAUUUUCUGGGCUAGCUGUGUGGUUCAUCACCGUCAGCUGAACACUUUAUGGGAAUUUAUGGUGGUUUACGGACCCGCGGACCACUCGCUUGCCCCUCUGUUUCUGGAUGUGCUUUCGAAUAAGAUUGAAGCGUGCACUAUCCCUCUUCUUAUUGGGGGUGACUUCAAUUUGCUUCGAACCCCGGCGGAUAAGAACAACUCUAAUUUUUCUUGGCCUCUUGCCAACGCUUUUAAUGAUUCAUCAGUAGCUGUGCGCUUCGUGAGCUCCCUAGGGUGGGGGCGCGGUUUACUUGGUCUAACCAUCAGUCCUCUCCUGUCCGGUCGGUGUUGGAUAGGGUCUUUGUUUCUGAUAGGUGGGACUCGCUUUUCCCUCGUGCGUUACUUAAAGCCAGACCUGUGGUUGGCUCUGAUCAUGUCCCCCUGGUCGUCGACGCGGGCAUUCUCUCCCUUGUGUCUCCCUCCCGUUUCCAGUUUGACGCCUCUUGGCUUGUUGUGGAUGGCUUCUGUGAGAUGA
rnacentral:rRNA from 1 species